AUCCUGAUUUUUUGAAAGAAAAAUUCCCGACUUUUUGAAAGAAAAAAAUCCCAACUAUUCGACAGAAAAAUCCCGACUUUUUAACAGAAAGAAUUUCAACUUUUUGACGGAAGAAAAUCCCAAUUUUUUGACGGAAAAAAUCCCAAUUUUUUGAUGGAAAAAAUUAUGCUUAUUUGACUGCAAAAAUGCCGACUUCUUGACAGAAAAAAAAAUCCCGAUUGUUUGACGGGAAAAAAAAUCCAGACUCGAUAGAAAAAAAUCCAGAUUUUUUUUUUACCAAAAAAAACCCCCGUUUUGACGGAUUUAAACAAUUCCAACAGCAACCAAUUCAGCGCAAAAAUUCCCAAAUUUCCAGGAAGUUCCAAUUGAACUGAAUGGGACAUUUUUUCCAAGUUGCACAAUUCCCACAUUUUUCAAACCAUCCCAACAUCAAAACAUUCCACUCAUCCAACUAAAACUUUCCCAAGCUCCAAACCAAAUUCCAGUUUUUCCUGGAAAUUCGAACUUUUCUUACAUCCGUCCUACAUUCUGUCAGCAUGUAUUUAUGAUGUUUUCAUGUUAGCUCGGAUGUCAGAGUCCUGCCUCAAGUAAUGAUCGUGGGUACGCUCGCUCCCAGAUAAGAUUUUGCUCUACACAGCCCAGAAAUAAAUAGCAAUUAGUGCGGUAGAACAAUGUUGUUGGGGAACAUUUCACUUUGGGAACGGUUAGAACAUAAAUCCAUAAACACAGACCUGGAAUGCUUGACGACGUCUCUUCGUGUAAACAACGCUGGCACUGAAGGCCGCUGUGGGUGUGAUAAGAGAUCACAGAGGAUUUUUGGGUAAUUGCUCAGCUAAAUUCCUGGUAGAGGAAGCGUUUCCAUAGCAGUCGUCAGCGGGCAUAGAGCAAUUUGCCCCGCUGCAAAAGGCUUUGGGCGUGUGCAAAAACAAGCAAACACGAAUAAAAACACGAAAUAUAUCAUCCAUUAUCCAUGAAAAUAUGAAUAAGGAGAAGCUGCCGAUGGUGUGUUUGACAGAAAAGCAGCUCGAAAAGAAGGUAAAUACCCACACAUUUUUAUUGAUUAACUAAUAAAUGUGUGGUGUGUUCUAGUGCACAGGUGUCAAGGUCAAGGCUCCAUUCCGCAAACAUUUAUCCAUGAAAAUAUGGGUAAGAAGAAGAUUUUUUGACAAAAAAAAUCUCAACUUUUUGAAAGAAAAUUCCUAUCUUUUUGAUAGAAAAAAUGCUGACUUUUUGACAGAAAACAAUCCCGACUUUUUGACAGAAAAAAUUGCUGACUUAAAAAAAAAAAAAAAAAAAAUCCCGAUUUUUGGAAAGAAACAAUCCCGACUUUUUGACAAAAUAAAUGGCAACAUUUUGACAGAAAAAAUACAGACUUUUUGACAGAAAAAAUGCAGACUUUUGGACAGAAAAAAUGCAGACUUCUUUACAGAAAAAAAUGCAGAUUUUUUCACAGAACAGAUGCAGACUUUUUGACAGAAAAAAAUGCCGACUUUUUCACAGAAAUAAUGCCGACUUUUUCACAGAAAAAAUGCCUACUUGACGGAAAAAAUGCAGACUUUUUGACGGAAAAAAAACCCCAAAUUCUGACCGAAAAAAUCCUGACUUUUGGACGGAAAAAAUCCAGACUUUUUAACAAAAAAAUUCCAACUUUUUGACAGGAAAAAUGCAGAUUUUUUUUACAGAAAAAAUGCCGCCCUUUUGACGGGAAAAAUGCUAACUUUUUGACAGAAACCCCCUCCCCCCCAAUUUUUGGACUGAAAAUAUGCAGACUUUUUGAAAGAAAAAUUCUCGACUUUUUAAAAAAAAAAAAAGAUGACUUUGUAACAGAAAAAAAAUCCCGAUUUUUUUGAAAGAAAAAAUCACGACUUUUUGACAAAAUAAAUGGCAACAUUUUGACAGAAAAAAUGCUGACUCUUUGACCGAAAAUCGCCGACUUUUCGACAGGAAAAACGCAGACUUCUUGGCAGAAAAAAAUCCUGAUUUUUUUGACAAAAAAAAUCCUGAUUUUAUUGACGGAAAAAAUAUCGACUUUUUGAAAGAAAUAUUCCAGACUUUUUAACAGAAAAAAUCAGGACUUUUUGAAAGAAAAAAAUCCCGACUUUUUGACAGAAAAAAAUCCCGACUUUUUGACGGACAAAAAAUCCUGACUUUUUGACAGAAAAAAUCCCUAUUUCUUGAAAAAAAGAAUCCCGAAGCUGCUGAUGGUGUGUUUGACAGAGAAACAGCUCACAGAUGCUACAAAAGAAGGUAAAUACCUGCACAUUUUUAUUCCUCUAAUUAAGCAAUGUGUGGUGUGUUCUCGUGCACAGGUGUUGAACUCAAAGCUCCCAUCCAGCAAAUAUUUAUCCGUGAAAAUAUGAGUAAGGAGAAGCUGCUGAUGGUGUGUUUGACAGAGAAGCAGCGCGCAGCGGCUAGAAAAGAAGGUUUUGGAGUGACACACGUUACCGUCCGAGCUACAUUAUUGUGGACGCCCCUGCUUAUUUCAGCAAGACGGCGGUUGAGUAUUCUGUCGCUCACUGGUGGGUGAGACCUCAAAAUUUGUCAUGGGUAACUUUCACGUCUGUGUAAUGCUCAAAAAGAUACAGGUUUUGGAGCGACACAUGUUGCCGUCCGAGCCGCGUUAUCGUGGACGCCCCUGCUUAUUUCAGCAAGACGGCGGCUGCGCCAUAAAUCGCUCACCGUUGAGUUUUGGAGCGACACAUGUUGCCGUCCAAGCCACGUUAUCGUGGACGCCCCUGCUUAUUUCAGCAAGACGGCGGCUGCACCCUCCAUCGCUCACCGUUGGGUUUUGGAGCGACACAUGUUGCCGUCCGAGCAAUGUUAUCAUGGACGCCCCUGCUUAUUUCAGCAAGACGGCGGCUGUGCUUUCCGUCGCUCACCAGUGGGUGAGUCCUCACACUAAGGCACAGGUAACUUACACGUCUGUGUAACGCUGAAAAUGUAUUUACAGGUUUUGGAGCGACACAUGUUGCCGUUCGAGCAAUGUUAUCAUGGACGCCCCUGCUUAUUUCAGCAAGACGGCGACUGCGCUGUCCGUCGCUCACCGGCAUUGAAAAAAUCCGGAGAAAUCACCGCACGUAAGCCAUGAUAUUAUGGACCUUGGAUACCUGCUUCAAAAAGCCACAUUGGUGUGUAAAGGAUAUCACCACCUGGGCUCAGGAACAGUUCAGUAAACCAUUGUCAGUAACUACGGUCGGUUGCUACAUCUGUAAGUGCAAGUUAAACUCUACUAUGCAAAGCCAAAGUAAUUUAUCAACAACACCCAGAAACGCCAAACGGCUCCGCAGGGCCCGAGCUCCUCUAAAAUGGACUGAUGCAAAGUGGGAAAAUCAUUCCCUGGUCUGACGAGUCCACAAUGAACAGGCGUCUUCGUCCGAUCAAGUCCAAGAUCUGAUGUGGGAUUCGCAAGCUCUCAGGCACAUCGAGCGUAAUUGACGAAUCAAAAGUGCCAAGAGUUUCCCACGCGCUCCAGACUCCGGUCUUCACCUCAACCGUGGAGGUAGGAAGUGGAGGGAAAGUCCCCUGUAGUCCCUGAGAACCUCCACUCCAAAAAGGACGCACAAUUUGUUGGUUGUCUUAUCACGAUGUUGCAAAAAGCAGACGCUGUAGGUGCACACGCGGGCCAGGCGAGGAGCUACGGCCCGGCCGACCCAUUAGCUGCCUGAUAAUCGGGGGACUAACUGAUGGAGACGAAGCCAAGUGGAGGAAGCAGACGGACUCCCUGAGUGGGACCGAGGCGGGAUCGUUAUGGACGCGGGUAAACGUCCUCCCGCACCUUCCGCCAUGAAGGAAAUGUUGCCCACCAGAGACUAUUAGAAAGGUUGCCCACCAGAGACUAUUACACUAUUAGCGGUGGAGAACGGAAACAGAGCGAUUGGGCCUUUCUGCCGUUUCUUUCGCCCGUCAACUUGCACACUUUGUGACCCGGAAGUCUGAAUGUCACUGAAACAUUUAGCGCCAUCUUUUGACUGUAUUUAUAUUAUUCAUGUGUAUAAUGCCUGUAUUUAUGUUAUUCACGUGUGAAUAAUGCUGUAUAAUAGACUAAUUAUACUAUUCACAUUUGAAUAAUGCUGUAUAAUAGACUGUAUUUCUAUUAUUCACACGUGAAUAAUGCUGUAUAAUAGACUAAUUAUAUUAUUCACAUGUGAAUAAUGAUGUAUAACAGACUGUAUUUAUAUUAUUCACAUGUAAAUAAUGCUGUAUAAUAAGACUGUAUUUAUGUUAUUCACGUGUGAAUAAUGCUGUAUAAUAGACUGUGUUUAUAUUAUUCACAUGUGAAUAAUGCUGUAUAAUAGACGGUAAUUAUGUUAUUCACAUGUGAAUAUUGAUGUAUAACAGACUGUAUUUAUUUUAUUCACAUGUGAAUAAUGCUGUAUAACAGACUGUAUUUAUAAUAUUCACAUGUGAAUAAUGCUGUGUAAUAGACUAUAUUAUUCACAUGUAAAUAAUAAUGUAUAAUAGACUGUAUUUAUUUUAUUCACAUGUGAAUAAUGAUGUAUGACUGUAUUUGUUAUUCACAUGUGAAUAAUGCUAUAUAAUAGACUGUAUUUAUAUUAUUUACAUGUGAAUAAUAAUUUAUAAUUGACUGUAUUUGUUAUUCACGUGUAAAUAAUGCUGUAUAAUGGACUGUAUUUAUAUUAUUUACAUGUAAAUAAUGUUGUAUAAUAGACUGUAUUUAUGUUAUACACAUGUGAAUAAUGCUGUAUAAUAGACUGUAUUUAUGUUAUUCACAUGUAAAUAUUGCUGUAUAAUAGACUGUAUUUAUGUUAUUCAGGUGUGAAUAAUGCUGUAUAAUAGACUGUUUAUAUAAUUAACAUGUGAAUAAUGCUGUAUAAUAGACUGUAUUUAUGUUAUUCACGUGUAAAUAAUGAUGUAUAACAGACUAUAUUAUUCACAUGUGAAUAAUGCUGUAUAAUAGACUGUAUUUAUGUUAUUCACGUGCAAAUAAUGAUGUAUAACAGACUAUAUUUAUAUUAUUCACAUGUGAAUAAUGCCGUAUAAUAGACUAUUUAUGUUAUUCACGUGUAAAUAAUGCUGUAUAAUAGAUUGUAUUUAUGUUAUUCACAUGUGAAUAAUGUUGUAUAAUAGACUGUAUUUAUAUUAUUCACACGUGAAUAAUGCCGUAAAUUGGACUGUAUUUAUGUUAUUCACAUGUGAUUAAUGAUGUAUAAUAGACUGUUUAUACUAUUCACAUGUGAAUAAUGCUGUAUAAUGUACUAUAUUAUUAUUUACACGUGAAUAAUGCUGUAUAAUAGACUAUUUAUAUUAUUCACAUGUGAAUAAUGCUGUAUAAUAGACUGUAUGUUAUUCACGUGUAAAUAAUGCUGUAUAAUAGAUUGUAUUUAUGUUAUUCACUUGUGAAUUAUGCCGUAUAAUAGACUGGAUUUAUAUUAUUCACAUAUGAAUAAUGCCGUAUAAUAGACUGUAUUUAUGUUAUUUACAUGUGAUUAAUGAUGUAUAAUAGACUGUUUAUAAUAUUCCCAUGUGAAUAAUGCUGUAUAAUGGACUAUAUUAAUAUUAUUCAUAUGUGAAUAACGCUGUAUAAUAGACUGUAUUUAUGUUAUUCACAUGUAAAAAAUACCUAAGUGUUUAUUGUCUACUGUGAGUGAACUGUGGUGCUGAAUUUCCCCCAGGGAUCAAUAAAGUACUUUCUAUUC